UCUAGCUAAAACCAGUUGAUUCAGUAAAGAAAACCAGCUAAAACCAGCUAAGACCAGCUGAGGCCAGCGUGACAGUGGCCAAAACCACUUUAAACCAUGUUAGAACAUGUUAAAAAGCAUGUUUCUAACCUGAUUAUCAAGUUACUAACAUGUUGUUAACAUGUUUCUAUGAUAAUCUAGCUAAAAACCAGUUGAUUCAGUAAAGAAAACCAGCUAAAACCAGCUAAGACCAGCUAAGGCCAGCGUGACAGUGGCCAAAACCACUUUAAACCAUGUUAGAAGUAUGUUUCUAGUCUGAUAAGCAAGUAACUAGCAUGUUGUUAACAUUUUUCUAUUCUAAUCCAGCUAAAACCAGUUGAUUCAGUAAAGAAAACCAGCUAAAACCAGCUAAGACCACCUAAGGCCAGCGUGACAGUGGCCAAAAACCACUUUAAAAACCAUGUUAAAAGCAUGUUUCUAGUCUGAUUAGUGAGUUACUAGCAUGUUGUUAACAUUUUUCUAUUCUAAUCCAGCUAAAACCAG
ensembl:lncRNA